rnacentral:rRNA from 1 species
GACGAACGCUGGCGGCGUGCUUAACACAUGCAAGUCGAACGAAGAGCGAUGGAAGCUUGCUUCUAUCAAUCUUAGUGGCGAACGGGUGAGUAACGCGUAAUCAACCUGCCCUUCAGAGGGGGACAACAGUUGGAAACGACUGCUAAUACCGCAUACGAUCUAACCUCGGCAUCGAGGAUAGAUGAAAGGUGGCCUCUACAUGUAAGCUAUCACUGAAGGAGGGGAUUGCGUCUGAUUAGCUAGUUGGAGGGGUAACGGCCCACCAAGGCGAUGAUCAGUAGCCGGUCUGAGAGGAUGAACGGCCACAUUGGGACUGAGACACGGCCCAGACUCCUACGGGAGGCAGCAGUGGGGAAUCUUCCGCAAUGGACGAAAGUCUGACGGAGCAACGCCGCGUGAGUGAUGACGGCCUUCGGGUUGUAAA